GUCUACAUCCAAACCAUCCUGAAUGUUCCUGAUCUCAUGUGCUCAGAAGCUAAGCAAGGUCAGGCCUAUUUAGUACUUGGAUGGGAGAAGACCAAUCUCAUAAAAGAAAAGGAAAGUGAAGACU
rnacentral:rRNA from 1 species